UACGAAGGGGGCUAGCGUUGCUCGGAAUCACUGGGCGUAAAGGGUGCGUAGGCGGGUUUUUAAGUCAGGGGUGAAAUCCUGGAGCUCAACUCCAGAACUGCCUUUGAUACUGAGGAUCUUGAGUCCGGGAGAGGUGAGUGGAACUGCGAGUGUAGAGGUGAAAUUCGUAGAUAUUCGCAAGAACACCAGUGGCGAAGGCGGCUCACUGGCCCGGUACUGACGCUGAGGUGCGAAAGCGUGGGGAGCAAACAGG
rnacentral:rRNA from 1 species